rnacentral:rRNA from 1 species
GUGACUGCGUACCUUUUGUAUAAUGGGUCAGCGACUUAUAUUCUGUAGCAAGGUUAACCGUAUAGGGGAGCCGGAGGGAAACCGAGUCUUAAUUGGGCGUUAAGUUGCAGGGUAUAGACCCGAAACCCGGUGAUCUAGCCAUGGGCAGGUUGAAGGUUGGGUAACACUAACUGGAGGACCGAACCGACUAAUGUUGAAAAAUUAGCGGAUGACCUGUGGCUGGGGGGGAAAGGCCAAUCAAACCGGGAGAUAGCUGGUUCUCCCCGAAAGCUAUUUAGGUAGCGCCUCGUGAAUUCAUCUCCGGGGGUAGAGCACUGUUUCGGCUAGGGGGCCAUCCCGGCUUACCAACCCGAUGCAAACUGCGAAUACCGGAGAAUGUUAUCACGGGAGACACACGGCGGGUGCUAACGUCCGUCGUGAAGAGGGAAACAACCCAGACCGCCAGCUAAGGUCCCAAAGUCAUGGUUAAGUGGGAAACGAUGUGGGAAGGCCCAGACAGCCAGGAUGUUGGCUUAGAAGCAGCCAUCAUUUAAAGAAAGCGUAAUAGCUCACUGGUCGAGUCGGCCUGCGCGGAAGAUGUAACGGGGCUAAACCAUGCACCGAAGCUGCGGCAGCGACGCUGAUGCGUUGUUGGGUAGGGGAGCGUUCUGUAAGCCUGCGAAGGUGACCUGUGAGGGUUGCUGGAGGUAUCAGAAGUGCGAAUGCUGACAUAAGUAACGAUAAAGCGGGUGAAAAGCCCGCUCGCCGGAAGACCA